rnacentral:rRNA from 1 species
UCUGGUAUGAAAGGUUUGACGAGAUAUUAACUGUUUCAUAAAAAUUUAUAUUAGAAUUUUAUUUUUUAGUUAAAAAGCUAAAAUUUAUUUAAAAGACGAGAAGACCCUAUAAAUCUUUAUAUUUAAAUUAUUAUAAUUUUGUAGAAUUUUUUUAUUUUAAUAAUUAAUAAUAUUUUAUUGGGGUGAUAUUAAAAUUUAAUAAACUUUUAAUUUUUUUUAUCAUUAAUUAAUGAAUAAUUGAUCCGUUAUUAACGAUUAAAAAUUUAAGUUACCUUAGGGAUAACAGCGA